rfam:Felis catus isolate Cinnamon breed Abyssinian chromosome C1, whole genome shotgun sequence.
GCUUGGGUGGCUCAGUCAGUUGAGCCUCUGACUUUGGCUCAGUUCAUGAUCUUGUGGUUUGUGAGUUCAAGCCCCACAUCAGGCU